UCGGGAAUUUUGGGCAAUGGGCGAAAGCCUGACCCAGCAACGCCGCGUGAGGGAUGAAGUAUUUCGGUAUGUAAACCUCGAAAGAAUGGGAAGAAUAAAUGACGGUACCAUUUAUAAGCUCCGGCUAACUACGUGCCAGCAGCCGCGGUAAUACGUAGGGAGCAAGCAUUGUUCGGAUUUACUGGGCGUAAAGGGCGCGUAGGCGGCGCGGUAAGUCACUUGUGAAAUCUCUGAGCUUAACUCAGAACGGCCAAGUGAUACUGCUGUGCUAGAGUGCGGAAGAGGCAACCGGAAUUCUUGGUGUAGCGGUGAAAUGCGUAGAUAUCAAGAGGAACACCUGAGGCGAAGGCGGGUUGCUGGGCCGACACUGACGCUGAUGCGCGAAAGCCAGGGGAGCAAACG
rnacentral:rRNA from 1 species